AAACAAACUACAACAGACGUGUACUAUUGCGUGUCAUAACAGUUUCAGAUUUGUUUUCAGAUCCUAAAAGAGAUUGAUGGGGCUGGGAUUUACGUCCGUUCUUUUAGCAGUGAGCGUACACUAUGCGUGCUGCUGUCAUCGACGGCGUCCACCUCCAUCUCCACCAACUCCAUGGAGCCCAAGUAUAAAUACAAAUUAUUUUGCCGACAAAAGAAAGGUUACAGCCAAUGUAAAGUGGCCCGUUCAAUCAAACAG